rnacentral:rRNA from 1 species
GACGAACGCUGGCGGCGUGCUUAACACAUGCAAGUCGAACGGUGAAGGGGUCUGCUUUUGUGAGCCCUGGAUGAGUGGCGAACGGGUGAGUAACACGUGAGUAACCUGCCCCCUUCUUCUGGAUAACCGCAUGAAAGUGUGGCUAAUACGGGAUAUUCUGGGUCUGUCGCAUGAUGGGUCUGGGAAAGAUUGCGCCUUUGGGUGUUUUUGGUGGGGGAUGGGCUCGCGGCCUAUCAGCUUGUUGGUGGGGUGAUGGCCUACCAAGGCGGUGACGGGUAGCCGGCCGGAGAGGGUGGACGGUCACACUGGGACUGAGACACGGCCCAGACUACUACGGGAGGCAGCAGUGGGGAAGAUUGCACAAUGGGCGCAAGCCUGAUGCAGCGACGCCGCGUGAGGGAUGGAGGCGUUCGGGUUGUAAACCUCUUUCGCCAGUGAAGCAGGCCUGCUCCUUGUGGGUGGGUUGACGGUAGCUGGAUAAGAAGCGCCGGCUAACUACGUG